rnacentral:Y_RNA from 1 species
GACUGGUUCAAGUGCAGUGUUGUUUGUUUACAACUAAUUGAUGACAACCAGCUACAGAUUCCUUUAUUCCUUCUCCACUCCCACUGCUUCACUUGACUAGCCUUAA